GAUGAACGCUGGCGGCGUGCCUAAUACAUGCAAGUCGAGCGAACGGACGAGAAGCUUGCUUCUCUGAUGUUAGCGGCGGACGGGUGAGCAACACGUGGAUAACCUACCUAUAAGACUGGGAUAACUUCGGGAAACCGGAGCUAAUACCGGAUAAUAUUUUGAACCGCAUGGUUCAAAAGUGAAAGACGGUCUUGCUGUCACUUAUAGAUGGAUCCGCGCUGCAUUAGCUAGUUGGUAAGGUAACGGCUUACCAAGGCAACGAUGCAUAGCCGACCUGAGAGGGUGAUCGGCCACACUGGAACUGAGACACGGUCCAGACUCCUACGGGAGGCAGCAGUAGGGAAUCUUCCGCAAUGGGCGAAAGCCUGACGGAGCAACGCCGCGUGAGUGAUGAAGGUCUUCGGAUCGUAAAGCUCUGUUAUUAGGGAAGAACAUAUGUGUAAGUAACUGUGCACAUCUUGACGGUACCUAAUCAGAAAGCCACGGCUGACUACGUGCCAGCAGCCGCGGUAAUACGUAGGUGGCAAGCGUUAUCCGGAAUUAUUGGGCGUAAAGCGCGCGUAGGCGGUUUUUUAAGUCUGAUGUGAAAGCCCACGGCUCAACCGUGGAGGGUCAUUGGAAACUGGAAAACUUGAGUGCAGAAGAGGAAAGUGGAAUUCCAUGUGUAGCGGUGAAAUGCGCAGAGAUAUGGAGGAACACCAGUGGCGAAGGCGACUUUCUGGUCUGUAACUGACGCUGAUGUGCGAAAGCGUGGGGAUCAAACAGGAUUAGAUACCCUGGUAGUCCACGCCGUAAACGAUGAGUGCUAAGUGUUAGGGGGUUUCCGCCCCUUAGUGCUGCAGCUAACGCAUUAAGCACUCCGCCUGGGGAGUACGACCGCAAGGUUGAAACUCAAAGGAAUUGACGGGGACCCGCACAAGCGGUGGAGCAUGUGGUUUAAUUCGAAGCAACGCGAAGAACCUUACCAAAUCUUGACAUCCUUUGACAACUCUAGAGAUAGAGCUUUCCCCUUCGGGGGACAAAGUGACAGGUGGUGCAUGGUUGUCGUCAGCUCGUGUCGUGAGAUGUUGGGUUAAGUCCCGCAACGAGCGCAACCCUUAAGCUUGGUUGCCAUCAUUAAGUUGGGCACUCUAAGUUGACUGCCGGUGACAAACCGGAGGAAGGUGGGGAUGACGUCAAAUCAUCAUGCCCCUUAUGAUAUGGGCUACACACGUGCUACAAUGGACAAUACAAAGGGCAGCGAAACCUUGAGGUCAAGCAAAUCCCAUAAAGUUGUUCUCAGUUCGGAUUGUAGUCUGCAACUCGACUACAUGAAGCUGGAAUCGCUAGUAAUCGUAGAUCAGCAUGCUACGGUGAAUACGUUCCCGGGUCU
rnacentral:rRNA from 1 species